rnacentral:rRNA from 1 species
AGGGUUCGAUUCUGGCGUCAGGAUGAACGCUGGCGGCGUGCUUAACACAUGCAAGUCGAACGGGAAUUACAUUUUAGCUUGCUAAGUUGUAAUUCUAGUGGCGGACGGGUGAGUAACGCGUGGGUAACCUGCCUUAUACCGGGGGACAACAGUUGGAAACGACUGCUAAUACCGCAUAAGCGCACAGUAUCGCAUGAUACAGUGUGAAAAAACUCCGGUGGUAUAAGAUGGACCCGCGUCUGAUUAGCCAGUUGGCGGUGUAACGGACCACCAAAGCGACGAUCAGUAGCCGGCCUGAGAGGGCAAACGGCCACAUUGGGACUGAGACACGGCCCAAACUCCUACGGGAGGCAGCAGGUGGGGAAUAUUGCACAAUGGAGGAAACUCUGAUGCCAGCGACGCCGCGUGAGUGAAGAAGUAUUUCGGUAUGUAAAGCUCUAUCAGCAGGAAAGAAAAUGACGGUACCUGACUAAGAAGCCCCGGCUAACUACGUGCCAGCAGCCGC